AGGGGGCAAGCGUUGUUCGGAUUUAUUGGGCGUAAAGAGCGUGUAGGCGGCCAGGUAGGUCAGCUGUGAAAACUCGAGGCUCAACCUCGAGACGCCGGUUGAAACCAUCUGGCUAGAGUCCGGAAGAGGAGAGUGGAAUUCCUGGUGUAGCGGUGAAAUGCGCAGAUAUCAGGAAGAACACCCGUGGCUAAGGCGGCUCUCUAGUACGGUACUGACGCUGAGACGCGAAAGCGUGGGGAGCGAACAGG
rnacentral:rRNA from 1 species